rnacentral:ncRNA from 2 species
GGCGUCCUCACUGGAGAGAGGCUGCACCCGGGGCAGCCCACCGAAGGGGCAAGCGGGUCGAGGUGCGACACACCGGAACCGGCCAAUCUCUCAGGUAAAGCGGACAGCGAGGGCAGG